rnacentral:rRNA from 2 species
CCUGGUUGAUCCUGCCAGUAGUCAUAUGCUUGUCUCAAAGAUUAAGCCAUGCAUGUCUAAGUACAUACUGUUUAUAAAGUGAAACCGCGAAUGGCUCAUUAAAUCAGUUACGGUUCCUCGGAUAUUCUUUUUUACAUGGAUAACUGUGGUAAUUCUAGAGCUAAUACAUGAACAAGUGUUCCAACCUCAGCUUGCUGACGGAAGGAUCGCAUUUAUUAGUACAAGACCAAUGAUUCUUAUUCACCUAGAACCCUGUUCAGUGAUUUCGGUCGCUGUCUAAGGACUAGCAGUGGGGAUCUUAGCAACUUCGGUUGCAUUUCUUGUGAUGACUCUGAAUAACUGAGCAAAUCGUAUGGCCUCUGAGCCGACGAUGUAUCCCUCAAGCAACUGCCUUAUCAACUGUCGAUGGUAGGUUAUGCGCCUACCAUGGUUGUAACGGGUAACGGGGAAUUAGGGUUCGAUUCCGGAGAGGGAGCCUGAGAAACGGCUACCACAUCUAAGGAAGGCAGCAGGCGCGCAAAUUACACAAUCCCAGUACGGGGAUGUAGUGACGAAAAAUAACAAUACGGGACUCUAUUGAGGCCCCGUAAUUGGAAUGAGUACAAUUUAAAUCCUUUAACGAGGAUCUAUUGGAGGGCAAGUCUGGUGCCAGCAGCCGCGGUAAUUCCAGCUCCAAUAGCGUAUAUUAAAGUUGCUGCGGUUAAAAAGCUCGUAGUUGGAUUUCAGUCGAACCUAUGGGGUCCACUGAUUAAAGGGUUAGAUGGUGAUGUUAGGUUUCUUGCUUGUGUCUACGGAUGCUUGCUUGAACCUUCAUUCCUCUUUCCUGGUGGUUACAUUCAUAGUGUUUAGACAGAAAAUUGCUCGAUAUUUGCUAUCAAUGCUCUUUACCGAGUGUUGAUUCAAGCGAUCGAGACUUUUACCUUGAAAAAAUCAGAGUGCUCAAAGCAGGCGUCCAAAACCUCGAAAGAGGUGCCUAAAAACGGUAUGGUCAACCAUCUAUAUGAUGCGUACCACUACCUUAACUUGAAUGAUCUUGCAUGGAAUAAUGGAAUAGGACCUUGGUUCUAUUUUGUUGGUCUUAAGAAUCCAAGGUAAUGAUUAAGAGGGACAGACGGGGGCAUUUGUAUUGCGGCGCUAGAGGUGAAAUUCUUGGACCG